AGAGUUUGAUCAUGGCUCAGGAUGAACGCUGGCGGCGUGCCUAACACAUGCAAGUCGAGCGAUUUACUUCGGUAAAGAGCGGCGGACGGGUGAGUAACGCGUGGGUAACCUGCCCUGUACACACGGAUAACAUACCGAAAGGUAUGCUAAUACGAGAUAAUAUGCUUUUAUCGCACGGUAGAAGUAUCAAAGCUUUUGCGGUACAGGAUGGACCCGCGUCUGAUUAGCUAGUUGGUAAGGUAACGGCUUACCAAGGCGACGAUCAGUAGCCGACCUGAGAGGGUGAUCGGCCACAUUGGAACUGAGACACGGUCCAAACUCCUACGGGAGGCAGCAGUGGGGAAUAUUGCACAAUGGGCGAAAGCCUGAUGCAGCAACGCCGCGUGAGCGAUGAAGGCCUUCGGUUCGUAAAGCUCUGUCCUCAAGGAAGAUAAUGACGGUACUUGAGGAGGAAGCCCCGGCUAACUACGUGCCAGCAGCCGCGGUAAUACGUAGGGGGCUAGCGUUAUCCGGAAUUACUGGGCGUAAAGGGUGCGUAGGUGGUUUCUUAAGUCAGAGGUGAAAGGCUACGGCUCAACCGUAGUAAGCCUUUGAAACUGGGAAACUUGAGUGCAGGAGAGGAGAGUGGAAUUCCUAGUGUAGCGGUGAAAUGCGUAGAUAUUAGGAGGAACACCAGUUGCGAAGGCGGCUCUCUGGACUGUAACUGACACUGAGGCACGAAAGCGUGGGGAGCAAACAGGAUUAGAUACCCUGGUAGUCCACGCCGUAAACGAUGAGUACUAGCUGUCGGAGGUUACCCCCUUCGGUGGCGCAGCU
rnacentral:rRNA from 1 species